AACGAACGCUGGCGGCAUGCCUAACACAUGCAAGUCGAACGAGACCUUCGGGUCUAGUGGCACGGGUGCGUAACGCGUGGGAACCUGCCCUUAGGUUCGGAAUAACUCCCCGAAAGGGGUGCUAAUACCGGAUAAUGUCUUCGGACCAAAGAUUUAUCGCCUUUGGAUGGGCCCGCGUUGGAUUAGCUAGUUGGUAGGGUAAAAGCCUACCAAGGCGACGAUCCAUAGCUGGUCUGAGAGGAUGAUCAGCCACACUGGGACUGAGACACGGCCCAGACUCCUACGGGAGGAAGCAGUGGGGAAUAUUGGACAAUGGGCGAAAGCCUGAUCCAGCAAUGCCGCGUGAGUGAUGAAGGCCUUAGGGUUGUAAAGCUCUUUUACCCGGGAUGAUAAUGACAGUACCGGGAGAAUAAGCGCCGGCUAACUCCGUG
rnacentral:rRNA from 1 species